AGCGCUCACCACUUUGUGGUUCAUGACUGGGGUGAAGUCGUAACAAGGUAGCCCUAGGGGAACCUGGGGCUGGAUCACCUCCUUACCU
rnacentral:rRNA from 1 species